UACGUAGGGUGCGAGCGUUAAUCGGAAUUACUGGGCGUAAAGCGUGCGCAGGCGGUGAGCUGUGUCCGAUGUGAAAGCCCCGGGCUUAACCUGGGAAUGGCAUUGGAAACUGGCUCGCUGGAGUGUGGCAGAGGGGGGUGGAAUUCCGCGUGUAGCAGUGAAAUGCGUAGAGAUGCGGAGGAACACCGAUGGCGAAGGCAGCCCCCUGGGCUAACACUGGACGCCUCAGGCACGAAAGCGUGGGGAGCAAACAGGAUUAGAUA
rnacentral:rRNA from 1 species